AGGAAAGGCAGCUGCAAUUUAAGAGCAAGAUUGAGAAGUAAAAAUAUCAAGAAGGAGCAUUUUUAGAGUUAUAAAAUCAGAAUCUCUAGAGGGAAGAACAGAAACAUGAAUUUUCAGCACAUUUCUUGGACAAUCAUUUUGCACACUAAGGUUGAAGAACAACCUGGAACAAAGCUUCUCCUGGAUGGAUCUUACUUUUACCCUACCUCCGGUGUAGAGAGGGAGAGAGGGCAGUUACAGAACAAAUGUCUACUCCAGCAUCAUAGUUUGGUUUUGUUCACUGCAGAUUAUGUAGAGUUAGGAUCUACACUGCAGAACCAAUGAACCGUUGUAUAAUCCUGCCAUUUCCAUUUGUUUGUCUACCUAUCAUCUUACCUUUACUGGUGCUAUGUUCCAGAACAAUCUCAUGUGUUUUUGGACUAAAGAUUUUACCUUGUCAGAAUCGUGUUAACUUACCAUUAAAGCCUGUGCACAAUUUUAUGCGAAGGUGAAAUCUGCUUUGGAGUAGCUAUUGAGGCUCUAAGACAUCCUUCUGUUAGAUUCUACAUUAUAGAAAGCCCGCACAUGGAAAAGAAAUGUUGAACUUUUCUGAAGCUGGAUCCAAAUCAAUAACAAGUCUAAUGCUUAACACUGCUGAUAUGUCAGUCAUUUGCCAGAAUGGUAUGCCAUUCAUACUGUUAAAUGAACAUUUUCAUUUCCCAGAGGAGUGAUCUGCUGUCCAUCCUUAUAAUGUGGAGCAUGGUUCCCAGGCUAUUUACAUCAGCAUUGCUCCCUUACAAUGGGCCUGUUUCACUGGUUUACAUAAAUUGAAGGGCACUUUUAAAUAAACCUAAAAAGAACAAAUUGACAGCUGCUUGUGAUUAAUCAGAGAGAUUGUGUGACAACGAGAAGAUGCAUCAGAAAAUAAAAGGAAUAUUAUGGACACCAACUUUAAUAAUGCAUAAAAUACAUUUAAACAGCCUUAUUUGGGAAAGAUCCAUAUUGACUAAAUGCAUCAAAAGGGUGAUUUACAGGAGAUUUUCUUGUGCGUUAUUGUUAUUCUGUGACUAGAGACAGGAAACAGUAUUUGUAGUUUCAAUCAUCUAAUGAGGUCGGUACCAAAACAUAGAUUUUUUUUUUAGUGUGUUCUGUGGAGAUAUGGUCAUAUGAAUUUUUAUGAGCUUGAAUGGGCAGAUUGAGAAGCUAGCUUAUUCUUCUUUUCAAAUCAAGGAUAUUGAGUAAAUUUGAAAUUUGAAAGCUAAAUUCUAACAGUAAAUUUUCCAUAAGUUAUUUCCCUUUAUUAUGCAGCAAGUAUCUCAAAGACAAAUCUGUAAAUAGAAAUGAAUGGAUCUUCCUUAUUCUUUCUGAAUUCAUUCAUUGCUGUGGAAUAUAAACCCAAUUCAUAACAAGCGAAAAUUACUCUGAAAAAUGUUCUGAAAUCAAAUUUUCCCAAAGAAAAGGGGAAACAUACUUUCAUGGAUUCAAACAUUCCCAUUUGUGUACUAAAUCUGGAGAUAUUAAGAAAUGUAUUAUUUAUGUAUUCUUUUUAUUUCAACAAAUAUCAGUUUUCUAAAUGAAACAAACAACGAGCAAGAGUUUGUGUGCAUCUAACAGACACACCCAAUGUGAAUACUCAUGAGUGUCCUGGAGUGAAAGCUUUAACAAAUCCUCAUUAUUCAGGUAGUUAAAGAGCAGGCUAAAUAGCAGUCCUGGCAUGCUGUAAAUCCUCAAGGCUGACAGAGAAGUGGUUAUGACAGCUUUCACAUUAUCUUAUUGCAGAAUCGAGGCGGUAGUCACAGCUGGCUCAUAUGUCAAAAUGUGUCAGGACUUAAAUGGUAAAACAGGAGUGCAACAGCAAUUGGCUUUUCAAUCAAUAACACAAUCAAUAUAUUUCACAGAUAUUUUCCCAUAUCUAAAUUACUCUGCAGAGAUGAGGGAGCCCAACUGAGUGUUUAUAAAUCAAUAAAACACACAGCUAAAGGACAUCUGCUCCUGUUCUUUUACUUCAAGGUGCUGUUUGCCUUUUCUUUCCAACCCUCUUCUUAUUUAAGAAUGCACUUUUGAGGACAAACAGCCCUCUUGUGCACACAAAUCAGCUUACUGCUGCAUUUUGUGCCCACGAUGUUUUUUAAUAUUUCUGUACUUGAGCAUUCAACUAAGUGGAAGGACAGCUUUUCUUAGCUUAGAAUGCUCUGACUGUUAGAAUUAAUAAAGUAGCUUUCAAGUUUCAAGUAAUAUAUGCUACAUAAACUUCAAAUAAAUAAUAUCAAGCUACAGCAUCCAGACUUGCAAGUUAAAAUAAUAACCCAGGGCAUUAUUUUUUUCCUCACAUGGAAUAAUAUUUGUCCUGAAAAUUAUAUAUUGUAUUUGUGCAGAUAUGUCACAAAUGAGAAAAAUGCUGUCCUCUACAAAUCUAUCUCCUUUGCAGGAGCAAGGAGGGGCAAAAAAGAGAAAAACUACAAUUUAAUGCAAAACUCUAGUACUGAUAUAUAAUUUUAUUUCCAUCCUGUAUAUCAAAAUGAGGUGAAGUAUGAAGCAUAGUUUAACAAAAACUGCAGUAUUUUGAGUUAAAGCUGCCAUAUUCUAUCAGUGGCCUCUAUAACACAGGGUGAUAUUAUGUUUCAUACUGUCAGUGCAUCUUUAAAAACAGAAGUCCAUAUUGUGUUACAAGUGGAAUGCAAAUGAAAUACAUCAAUCCGUACACUUUUCCUAAGCUUGUGUUGCUGGGGAAACACUUUCCAAUAAGCUUACACUGAAACAUAGGCAAUUGAAGGGUCGUGGUAAGGAUAUCACUUCCUUUGAAUUUGGGACAUGAUUCAAAAAUGGGGCGCCAAGAUGACAGAUUCUUCUUAUUCAAAGCUCAUUUUUUACCACUUUUUUUUCUAUAAAUUUGUAACUAAGAAUAUUUACUUCUUAUUCAAUAGCUAUAAUGAUUGUUUUGCCUAUCAAAUUCACAAUGCCUUAUGAAUAUAGAUAGCAUCUCAUUCCUAUGGCCAGUGUUACCUUAUGAUAAGUAAUAAUCUUUCCACUCGUAAUUGGUUAAUUAGAAUGCAAUUUCCUUCAUCAGAUCCCGCCCUAUUUUUCCAGACUUAUCUCCCACCAACUGUCUUUAUACCUUAUAGCUCAAGUUAUUUCAUUCCAUAAAAGUGUCUAGAACUAUCAGAGUUUCAUACCCUUUUUCAACAUUCUAAAAUUUUUUCAGCUUGUAAACUUAUUGAAUUUGUUGUAAGUCCCACCUGAAAUCCAACCAUCGUGGGAAGUCUAAGUCAGCCUCUAACUGGGAUUAGUUGCUUGUUCUUCUAAAUUUCUAGAUCAUUUUUCUUAUGAUUCUGAGAUACUUAAAUGCUGCCUUUGUUUGCAAUUAUUUAUUAAUGACUCCUUCCCUGAGAUAUCUUAUAAAACCCUCCGAUAUGUGGGAAUUGCCUUGGACAAUUUUGAUUCUCUACUUCCAGAUAAAUAUUGAAUCAUUUCAUUUACUUUUAUUGAAGAAAAAAGGGCUUAAGGUUAUAAAAUCAUUUAGAGAAAAGAAUAUAGAUUAACUUUUAGCUUCUCAGAAAAUUUGGCUACUUGGGGUUUUUUGUGUUUCCUUAAAAUUUUUUUAAACUUUUUGUUCAAGUCCUCUGAAAAAUACCAUUGGUGUUUUCAUUGAAAUUUCAUUGAAACUGAAGAUUGCUUGGGUUGUAUAGUAAUUUUAAUAUUAAUUCUUCUAAUCCAUGAACAUACUACAUCUUUUCAUAUAUAUAUGUAUAAUAAUAGAAUACUACUCAUUCAUAAAAGGUAUGUAAUGUUGCCAUUUGUGACAAUCUGGAUUUACCUAGAGGGUAUUAUGCUAAUUGAAAUAAACCAAAC
ensembl:lncRNA